rnacentral:rRNA from 1 species
ACGAACGUUGGCGGCGUGGGAUUAGGCAUGCAAGUCGAACGAAUCCCUGGGGGCUUGCUCUCAGGGGGAAGUGGCGAAAGGGGCAGUAAGGCGUGGGUAACCUACCCUGGGGACCGGGAUAGCCCUCCUAACGGAGGGGUAAUACCAGGCGAUGUGAGCGGGGGCAUCCUCUGCUCACCAGAUGAGUUUCGCCCCGGGACGGGCUCACGUGGUAUUAGCUAGGUUGGUGGGGUAACGGCCUACCAAGGCUAAGAUGCCUAGCGGGUGUGAGAGCACGACCCGCGCCACUGGCACUGAGACACUGGCCAGACUCCUACGGGAGGCUGCAGUCGAGGAUCUUCGGCAAUGGGCGCAAGCCUGACCGAGCGACGCCGCGUGUGCGAUGAAGGCCUUCGGGUUGUAAAGCACUGUCGAGGGGGAGGAAGUGCGCAAGCUUGACCUAUCCCUGGAGGAAGCACGGGCUAAGUUCGUGCCAGCAGCCGCGGUAAGACGAACCGUGCGAACGUUGUUCGGAAUCACUGGGCUUAAAGGGCGCGUAGGCGGCUGCGGUAAGUCUCGGGUGAAAUCUUUCGGCCCAACCGGAAACGUACCUGGGAUACUGCGCAGCUGGAGGGGGAUAGGGGCGGACGGAACUUCCGGUGGAGCGGUGAAAUGCGUUGAUAUCGGAAGGAACGCCGGUGGCGAAAGCGGUCCGCUGGAUCCCUACUGACCGCUGAGGCGCGGAAGCCAGGGGAGCAAACGGGAUUAGAUACCCGGUAGUCCUGGCCCUAAACGAUGGGUACUGGGUAGUGGGCUUGUCAUGGGCUCACUUGCCGCAGCAAAAGUGGUAAGUACCCCCCCGCCUGGGGAGUAUGGUCGCAAGGCUGAAACUCAAAGGAAUUGACGGGGGCUCACACAAGCGGUGGAGCAUGUGGCUUAAUUCGAGGCUACGCGAAGAACCUUAUCCUGGGCUUGACAUGUGCGAAAGCGUCAGGGAGUAGGGGGCGGAAACGUUCCCCCAACGGUAUCCAGUCCGGAACCUGAUACAGGUGCUGCAUGACUGUCGUCAGCUCGUGUCGUGAGAUGUCGGGUUAAGUCCCCAUAACGAGCGAACAAACCCCUGUCUCCAGUUGCCAGCCGCGUCACUGGCGGGGACUCUGGAGAGACUGCCGGCGUCAAGCCGGAGGAAGGUGGGGAUGACGUCAAGUCCUCAUGGCUUUAUGCCCAGGGCUGCACACGUGCUACAAUGGCGUGAACAAAGGGACGCAAAGCCGCAAGGCCCAGCUAAUCCCAGAAAACACGCCCAGUUCAGACGCCGAAGGCUGCAACUCGCCUUCGUGAAGCCGGAAUCGCUAGUAAUCGCGGGUCAGCAACACCGCGGUGAAUGUGUUCCUGAGGCCUUGUACCACACCGCCCGUCAAGCCACGAAAGGGGGGAGCGCCCGAAGACGCUGUAACAGGCGGCUACGGCGAGACCCCCUGAUUGGGACU